rnacentral:rRNA from 1 species
GAACGAACGCUGGCGGCAUGCCUAACACAUGCAAGUCGAACGAGACCUUCGGGUCUAGUGGCGCACGGGUGCGUAACGCGUGGGAACCUGCCCUUAGGUUCGGAAUAACUCCCCGAAAGGGGUGCUAAUACCGGAUAAUGUCUUCGGACCAAAGAUUUAUCGCCUUUGGAUGGGCCCGCGUUGGAUUAGCUGGUUGGUAGGGUAAAAGCCUACCAAGGCGACGAUCCAUAGCUGGUCUGAGAGGAUGAUCAGCCACACUGGGACUGAGACACGGCCCAGACUCCUACGGGAGGCAGCAGUGGGGAAUAUUGGACAAUGGGCGAAAGCCUGAUCCAGCAAUGCCGCGUGAGUGAUGAAGGCCUUAGGGUUGUAAAGCUCUUUUACCCGGGAUGAUAAUGACAGUACCGGGAGAAUAAGCUCCGGCUAACUCCGUG